UGGAUGAGUUGUGUUUAGGGGUGAAAGGCCAAUCAAGCCGGGAAAUAGCUGGUUCUCCGCGAAAACUAUUGAGGUAGUGCCUCGGAUGUUUUCCUAUGGGGGUAGAGCACUGGAUGGGCUAGGGGGUCCCACAGACUUACCAAACCUAACCAAACUCCGAAUACCAGUAAGUAGAGCGCAGCAGACAGACUACGGGUGCUAAGGUCCGUGGUCGAAAGGGAAACAGCCCAGACCUCCAGCUAAGGUCCCAAAAUCAUAGUUAAGUGGGAAAGGAUGUGGGAAGGCCAAGACAACCAGGAGGUUGGCUUAGAAGCAGCCAUCCUUUAAAGAAAGCGUAACAGCUCACUGGUCUAAAUAAGGGUUUCUGCGCCGAAGAUGUAACGGGGCUCAAGCCACGAGCCGAAGCUUAGGGUGUGCGCAAGCACGCGGUAGCGGAGCGUUCU
rnacentral:rRNA from 1 species